rnacentral:lncRNA from 1 species
UCUGAAUACCCAUUUCAAUCACGUCUCGAUCAAUGCCUCGUCAACGUCUCGUUCAAUUCUAUACGAUAGUAAAAUAGUAUUUCAGUCGUCGGAUCAGACGGAUUAACUAAUUCCGAAAGCGUUAGGACCUAUAUAUAGCUACCCUUCGCUUAUACUUACCACAUAGUCAGAUAAACACAUAGCACAUAAUUGCAAAAAUAACCCUUUUUAUAGCUACUAAAAUACAUAUAAUUUCUAACGAAAAUUCGGCAGCAUCUCCUCUGUUUAUAGUCUUAUCCACCUGUUUGCAGUACCAACAACCAGCCAAUACUAUUGCUUACACAUGAAUUAUUACUAUAAAAAUCUGCCUUGACAAGCAUUAAACACAUAAGAAAAUCUGCCUUGACUUGCAUUAAGCAUAUAAUGAAAUCUUUUAGCAGGAUUGCUAAUUUUUUAUACACAAAACACGUUUAAUUAGAUAUACAAGGUUAACCGAGCCAAUCCCUUUCAUAAUCAAUCAUAUGCUAUUAACCAAGUAUAACCUCAUACUAUGCACUAACAAAGAAAGAAGACUAGAACAAAUAGUUCAAACAGCCCUCACUCUAAGAUUUUUAAUAAAUUGAGAAUUUAUCAUUUUAAUACGAAAUUUUUAUGAGACACUCCUAAACAUUAUUCCAAUCUACUAUAAAAAUUUCAGAACCAAAUUCCAUGUUUAAGGGAGUAAACCAGGGCCUGCAAGUCAGGAACCUGAAUUUGUCCUGCAGAACCAGCCCCACGCUAUGAAUUUUAAUAAAUAGAAAAUUUGGUCUGUUUGUAUAAAAUUUUAAUGACAUAUUCCAGAUACUAACAUCUAACUCCGGUAAAAAUUUCAGAAGAAAAUCUCAAGUUUAAAGUAGCAAAACAGGGCCUAGAAUAGGACACACCUGCCCAGAAUUUUCUGCUCAACUCACACUAAAACAUACAUAUCCUUUAGCUUGUUUAACGAAACUUUGAAAUUCUUUUUCGUACUUGAUCUACACUUCAAGGAGCAUAUAAUCACAGAGAGAUUAGGCAUAGUUCUAACUUAACAGUUUCAAAACAGAUAUGCAAAACAGGGCAUAACCGCUGCGGAAACUUGACAACAAUUGACUUAGUUCUAAUACCACAACUCUAAUUACUCAAAACCCAUAUUCACAAAUCAAACAUCAAUAACCAGAAAUCAUAAACUCAAAAUCAUAGCAACUAAUUCCUAUACUUCAUUUAUAUAUCAAAUUAACAUCCACAUCAAGUUAAUCUCUCAACCAGUAAUAUGAUCAUAUACACAUAUAUAACUAAUUUAUCAAAGAAAGGUGUAUACCCACUGAUAACAACAAAAGUACACAUAUAUAUAUAAUCUGAUUCUAACAAAAAAAAUUAAUAAUACCCACUAAUUCGGAAUAAGAGAUGCAAGGGGUGAAGUGCUCGCCGGAAUCACACCCAUCGCCAAUACACCACCACUUGCUGCCAACCACAACUCCCCCGCCCCGUGUUACUUCAUCUCGCUCUUCUAUCACAACGUCGUCUCAACCCCAGUCUCCGCCAUAAUCGAACCUCCGGCGACUGCUACCAACACCUCCACCAUCAGCAGCCAGCACAAGCCCACAAACAACACGACAAUCACCCUAUAUAGAUACACGUAUAUACAUAUAUAGUCAAGCACACAUGAAUUUGAAUGUGAAAAGAUUGAACUCAAUUCUUUUGCCCUCUGAUUGAAUCCUCUGUAUAAAAACAUAACCCUAAAACUUAUGUGUCCUUACCCCAAUUCUCUCUCGCCGACUCAACACAAAUUUUCUUUUCUUUUUGUUUUCUAUUUUUAUUAUACUAAAAAUCAAACCCCCAAUUCUAAUUGAAAAGCUAUUUUCAUAAUUUUGGGCCUCAAAAUAUUCCCAAAAUUUAAAAAUAACUAAAAUUCAAAUUUAAC